AUACUUACCUGGCAGGGGAGAUACCAUGAUCACGAAGGUGGUUUUCCCACGGCAAGGCUUAUCCAUUGCACUCCGGAUGUGCUGACCCCUGCGAUUCCCCCAAAUGUGGGAAACUCGACUGCAUAAUUUGUGGUAGUAGGGGACUGCGUUCACACUCUCCCCUG
rnacentral:snRNA from 1 species